rnacentral:rRNA from 1 species
CCUACGGGAGGCAGCAGUGGGGGAUAUUGCACAAUGGGGGAAACCCUGAUGCAGCGACGCCGCGUGGGUGAAGAAGCGCCUCGGCGCGUAAAGCCCUGUCAGCAGGGAAGAAAAUGCAGGUACCUAAAGAAGAAUCACCGGCUAAAUCCGUGCCAGAAGCCGCGGUAAUACGGAGGGGGCACGCGUUAUCCGGAUUGACUGGGGGGAAAGGGGGCGCAGACGGCGAGGCAAGCCAGGAGUGAAGGCCCGGGGUCCAAUCCGGGGAGUUCUCUUGAAACUGGGUGGCUAGAGUGCAGGAGGGGCAGGCGGAAUUCCUGGUGUAGCGGUGAAAUGCGUAGAUAUCGGGAGGAACACCAGUGGCGAAGGCGGCCUGCUGGACUGCAACUGACGUUGAGGCCCGAAAGCGUGGGGAGCAAACAGGAUUAGAUACCCUUGUAGUC